AGCCAUGCAGUUAAUGUAAUAAAGGAUAAAUAGCUCAGUAAAACUACGAUUAUUUACUCUGUUUGAAAAGAUAACUACGUGAAAAUGUAGCUAAUUAUACAGAAUAAGACGUAGAACUAUCAGUUUGUUGGCAGUGUAACGGACUACCAAGACUAUGACGGUUAACGGGGAAUCAGGGUUUGAUACCGGAGAGGGAGCCUGAGAGAUUGCUCCCACGUCCAAGGACGGCAGCAGGCGCGAAAAUUGCCCACUCUUGUAGGAGGCAGUUAUGAGACGUUGUUUUGUGCUUUUCAAAAAGAAGCAAGAAAAUUGGAGGGCAAGUUUGGUGCCAGCAGCCGCGGUAAUACCGACUCCAAGAGUGUGUAUGAGAGAUGCUGCAGUUAAAAAGUCCGUAGUUUUAUAGAGGAGCCAAUGGGGAUGAUAGUAUAUAAGGGCGAGAGAUGAAAUGUCAAGACCCCUUGUGGACUAAGCGAGGCGAAAGCGAUUAUCUUGUGGGUAUUCUUUGAUCAAGGACGAAGGGUGGAGGAUCGAAAGUGAUUAGAUACCGCCGUAGUUCCACCAGUAAAAUAUGCCGACAUGUUUUUUGGAAACAAGAAACAGGGAGAAAUCUUAGAGUUCGGGCUCUGGGGAUAGUAUGCUCGCAAGAGUGAAAAUUAAAGAAAUU
rnacentral:rRNA from 1 species